AUGCAAAGAAAGACACCCAGGACCAAAGUGUCAAAAAAAUCUGAUGGGACUGUGGAUGAAGGCCCAGAGAUGGAUGCAAAUGUUGAUACAACUGCAACUGGAGGUGGAACUGUGGAUGAAGACCCAGAGAUGGAUGCAAAUGUUGAUACAACUGCAACUGGAGGUGGAACUGUGGAUGAUGACCCAGAGAUGGAUGCAAAUGUUGAUACAACUGCAAUUGGAGGUUGA